UACGUAGGGUGCAAGCGUUGUCCGGAAUUAUUGGGCGUAAAGAGCUCGUAGGCGGCUUGUCGCGUCGGAUGUGAAAGCCCGGGGCUUAACUCCGGGUCUGCAUUCGAUACGGGCUGGCUAGAGUGUGGUAGGGGAGAUCGGAAUUCCUGGUGUAGCGGUGAAAUGCGCAGAUAUCAGGAGGAACACCGGUGGCGAAGGCGGAUCUCUGGGCCAUUACUGACGCUGAGGAGCGAAAGCGUGGGGAGCGAACAGG
rnacentral:rRNA from 1 species